UCACAUCUUACGACGGCAGUCUCGACAGAGUCCCCAGCAUAACCUGAUGGUAACUAUCGAUAAGGGUUGCGCUCGUUAUGGCACUUAAGCCGACACCUCACGGCACGAGCUGACGACAACCAUGCAGCACCUUCACAACUGCCUUGCGGCUGACAUGUCUCCACAUCAUUCAGUUGCAAUUCAAGCCCGGGUAAGGUUCCUCGCGUAUCAUCGAAUUAAACCACAUGUUCCUCCGCUUGUGCGGGCCCCCGUCAAUUCCUUUGAGUUUCACCGUUGCCGGCGUACUCCCCAGGUGGAAUACUUAACGCUUUCGCUUGGCCGCUUACUGUAUAUCGCAAACAGCGAGUAUUCAUCGUUUACUGUGUGGACUAC
rnacentral:misc_RNA from 1 species